CCUACGGGGGGCUGCAGUGGGGAAUAUUGGACAAUGGGCGAAAGCCUGAUCCAGCCAUGCCGCGUGUGUGAAGAAGGCCUUCGGGUUGUAAAGCACUUUCAGUGGGGAAGAAAGCCUUGGGGCUAAUACCCACGAGGAAAGACAUCACCCACAGAAGAAGCACCGGCUAACUCCGUGCCAGCAGCCGCGGUAAUACGGAGGGUGCGAGCGUUAAUCGGAAUUACUGGGCGUAAAGCGCGCGUAGGCGGUCUGAUAAGCCGGUUGUGAAAGCCCCGGGGCUCAACCUGGGAACGGCAUCCGGAACUGUCAGGCUAGAGUGCAGGAGAGGAAGGUAGAAUUCCCGGUGUAGCGGUGAAAUGCGUAGAGAUCGGGAGGAAUACCAGUGGCGAAGGCGGUCUUCUGGACUGACACUGACGCUGAGGUGCGAAAGCGUGGGUAGCAAACAGGAUUAGAUACCCCAGUAGUC
rnacentral:rRNA from 1 species